GACGAACGCUGGCGGCGUGCUUAACACAUGCAAGUCGAGCGGUAAGGCCCUUUCGGGGGUACACGAGCGGCGAACGGGUGAGUAACACGUGGGUGACCUGCCCUCAGCUCUGGGAUAAGCCUGGGAAACCGGGUCUAAUACCGGAUAUGACUCCAUGACGCAUGUUGUGGGGUGAAAGCCUUGUGCGGCUGAGGAUGGGCCCGCGGCCUAUCAGCUUGUUGGUGGGGUGAUGGCCUACCAAGGCGACGACGGGUAGCCGGCCUGAGAGGGCGGUCGGCCACACUGACACUGAAAUACGGGUCA
rnacentral:rRNA from 1 species